rnacentral:rRNA from 1 species
AUUGAACGCUGACGGCAUGCCUUACACAUGCAAGUCGAACGGUAACAGGUUAAGCUGACGAGUGGCGAACGGGUGAGUAAUAUAUCGGAACGUGCCCAAUCGUGGGGGAUAACGUAGCGAAAGCUACGCUAAUACCGCAUACGAUCUACGGAUGAAAGCGGGGGAUCGCAAGACCUCGCGCGAUUGGAGCGGCCGAUAUCAGAUUAGGUUGUUGGUGAGGUAAAAGCUCACCAAGCCUGCGAUCUGUAGCUGGUCUGAGAGGACGACCAGCCACACUGGAACUGAGACACGGUCCAGACUCCUACGGGAGGCAGCAGUGGGGAAUUUUGGACAAUGGACGCAAGUCUGAUCCAGCAAUGCCGCGUGCAGGACGAAGGCCUUCGGGUUGUAAACUGCUUUUGUACGGAACGAAACGGUGAGCUCUAAUACAGUUUGCUAAUGACGGUACCGUAAGAAUAAGCACCGGCUAACUACGUGCCAGCCGCCGCGAUAA